CGCAGUCGUAGGGUUGUGUCAGGGCUUCGGUCCUGCCUGAGAGACCCAUGUGUUUGGAACGGGCGAAGUGAGAGCAAUUUCGUGGGUGCGAGAGCCACGGGGAGACCCGAGGCGCAUCGCUGGCCGAGCCGUAUGGUCACGCUGUGGCCGGUUUCGAGUGCGAGCGUAUCUGUUGCGACCCGAAAGAUGGUGAACUAUGCCUGAGGAGGGUGAAGCCAGAGGAAACUCUGGUGGAGGCCCGUAGCGGUUCUGACGUGCAAAUCGAUCGUCGCACUUGGGUAUAGGGGCGAAAGACUAAUCGAACCAUCUAGUAGCUGGUUCCCUCCGAAGUUUCCCUCAGGAUAGCUGGAGUUUGUUAGCAGUUUCGUCGGGUAAAGCGAAUGAUUAGAGGUAUCGGGGUUGAAAGGGCCUCGCCCUAUUCUCAAACUUUAAAUCGGCGAGAAGGGUUGUCUUGCCUACCGGAAGGCAUCCCUUGAAUGCAGGGGCUCCAUGUGGGCCGUUUUUGGUAAGCAGAACCGGCGAUGCGGGAUGAACCGAACGUUGGGCUAUGGCGCCGGAGUCGACGCUAAGCAGAUACCAGGAAAGGUGUUGGUUGAUCUAGACAGCAG
rnacentral:rRNA from 1 species